UAGGGAAUCUUCCACAAUGGACGAAAGUCUGAUGGAGCAACGCCGCGUGAGUGAAGAAGGCUUUCGGUUCGUAAAACUCUGUUGCAAGGGAAGAACAAGUAGCGUAGUAACUGGCGCUACCUUGACGGUACCUUGUUAGAAAGCCACGGCUAACUACGUGCCAGCAGCCGCGGUAAUACGUAGGUGGCAAGCGUUGUCCGGUAUUAUUGGGCGUAAAGCGCGCGCAGGUGGUUCCUUAAGUCUGAUGUGAAAGCCCCCGGCUCAACCGGGGAAGGUCAUUGGAAACUGGGUAACUUGAGUGCAGAAGAGGAUAGUGGAAUUCCAAGUGUAGCGGUGAAAUGCGUAGAGAUUUGGAGGAACACCAGUGGCGAAGGCGACUGUCUGGUCUGUAACUGACACUGAGGCGCGAAAGCGUGGGGAGCAAACAGG
rnacentral:rRNA from 1 species